AUUUGUUUUCUUUCACAUUUUGAAAUUCUACACAUCAUUUUCAACCUUCUCUAACUAAAUCAUUCUUCCCUCAUUCUCUAACUAAAUCUUCCUAAAUCAAUCGUGAUAUUUUAUUUCAUUAUUUGAGUUCUUACUUGUUAAUAUUAAUUUGCAUUGUGUAACUCUUUCUGAUUUAAGAGCAUUAGGGCACCAACGUCCAAAU
rnacentral:lncRNA from 1 species